GAAAUGCGAUAAGUAAUGUGAAUUGCAGAAUUCAGUGAAUCAUCGAAUCUUUGAACGCACAUUGCGCCCGCCAGUAUUCUGGCGGGCAUGCCUGUUCGAGCGUCAUUUCAACCAUCAAGCCCCCGGGCUUGUGUUGGGGACCUGCGGCUGCCCGCAGGCCCUGAAAUGCAGUGGCGGGCUCGCUGUCACACCGAGCGUAGUAGCAUACACCUCGCUCAGGGCGUGCCGCGUGCCCCGGCCGUUAAACGACCUUUUAACGCAAGGUUGACCUCGGAUCAGGUAGGAAGACCCGCUGAACUUAA
rnacentral:misc_RNA from 1 species